rnacentral:rRNA from 1 species
CCAGGCGUUAUCCGGAUUUAUUGGGUUUAAAGGGAGCGUAGGCGGAUUGUUAAGUCAGCGGUUAAAGGGUGUGGCUCAACCAUGCAUUGCCGUUGAAACUGGCGAUCUUGAGUGCAGACAGGGAUGCCGGAAUUCGUGGUGUAGCGGUGAAAUGCUUAGAUAUCACGAAGAACUCCGAUCGCGAAGGCAGGUGUCCGGGCUGCAACUGACGCUGAGGCUCGAAAGUGUGGGUAUCAAACAGGAUUAGAUACCCUGGUAGUCCACACAGUAAACGAUGUCAAUUAGCUGUUGGGCAACUUGAUUGCCUAGUAGCGUAGCUAACGCGUGAAAUUGACCGCCUGGGGAGUACGGUCGCAAGAUUAAAACUCAAAGGAAUUGACGGGGACCCGCACAAGCGGUGGAUGAUGUGGAUUAAUUCGAUGCAACGCGAAGAACCUUACCUGGUCUUGACAU